rnacentral:rRNA from 1 species
CGGAUUAACGCUGGCGGCGUGCAUAACACAUGCAAGUCGAACGAUGAAACUUAAAUGAUCUCUUCGGAGUGAAUUUAAGUGGAUUAGUGGCGGACGGGUGAGUAACGCGUGAGUAACCUGCCUUAGAGAAGGGGAUAGCCUUUGGAAACGAAGAAUAAUACCCUAUGAAACCAUAACCUCGCAUGAGGCCUUGGUCAAAGAUUUAUCGCUCUAAGAUGGACUUGCGUCUGAUUAGUUAGUUGGUGGGGUAACGGCCUACCAAGACAGCGAUCAGUAGCCGGCUUGAGAGAGUGUACGGCCACAUUGGGACUGAGACACGGCCCAGACUCCUACGGGAGGCAGCAGUGGGGAAUUUUGCACAAUGGGGGAAACCCUGAUGCAGCGACGCCGCGUGAUUUAGAAGGCCUUCGGGUUGUAAAAAUCUUUUCUAUGGGAAGAAAAUGACAGUACCAUAGGAAUAAGGACCGGCUAAUUACGUGCCAGCAGCCGCGGUAAUACGUAAGGUCCGAGCGUUGUCCGGAAUCAUUGGGCGUAAAGGGUACGUAGGCGGGUAAGCAAGUUAGAAGUGAAAUCCUAUAGCUCAACUAUAGUAAGCUUUUAAAACUGCUCAUCUUGAGGUAUGGAAGGGAAAGUGGAAUUCCUAGUGUAGCGGUGAAAUGCGCAGAUAUUAGGAGGAAUACCGGUGGCGAAGGCGACUUUCUGGCCAUAACCUGACGCUGAGGUACGAAAGCGUGGGUAGCAAACAGGAUUAGAUACCCUGGUAGUCCACGCCGUAAACGAUGAGUGUUAGGUGUCUGGAGUAAAUCUGGGUGCCGCAGCUAACGCAUUUAACACUCCGCCUGGNGAGUACGCGCGNCAGCGUG